GGUUACCAAGGUUACCGCCGAGAGGCCGCGUCCUCAGCUGGUCCUAGACAUGCGUGGCGUCGGGGCUGUGGCACGGUCGGGUCCGGGGACACUUGUUUAACAAGACAUCUGCCCAUGUCCCUGGCCCAUCUCAUUGGCUGCAGCACAUCACAGUGGACCUUCUGCCUCCUCCCAGAUGCCCAGGGACAGUGAUCUGGAAGGAAGGGGCUUGAGGCUGUUUUCCUAGAACUCGACUUGAAUGCACCAAGGAAAGGCCAUUUGUGGGGACAUAGCAAGAAGGCAGCUGUCUGCAAGCCAGGAGGAGAACCCUCACCAGAAACCUCACAGAAAUCGGCCAACACCCUCAUCUCGGGCUUCCAGCUUCAGAACAACGAGAAAACAAAUUUCUGUUGUGUCCUGGUUCCCAUUUGUAAUUGGCACCCUAAUGAAACCGUUUUCUGUAGCCCUGGAAAUGGCUGAAAAUGAGGGGAGGGAAAUAAAGUGCUAUAAUUCAGAGCAUGGAGCACACCUUCCUGGUUCACCUGAGCUGGAUUCGGAGAGGUAAAAUGGCCAUUACCUCGUCUAAGCUGCCACUUACAGACACAGUACAGGAUGAGGCCCAGACCCACAGAGACAACGAUGAUGGCCACAGCUAAGAUGAUCCAGAAAUUAUUCCUCCACCAGCUCAUUGCAGUGGAAUCCUGAGAAGAAUGGAGAGAGAAGAAUGAGAGGGCAAAAGCAGAUGGCUACACCGAGAACUCACGCCAGCCCAACACACUUUGAUCUCGAGGCCUCUGGAAGGGAAGGUGCCUAAUGAACUACUGAAAGCCAGAGAUGCAAUGACAAAGGUACCAAGACUGGAGGUGAUCCAGGUCUUUCAUCCAAGAGCCCCAAGACGUAGCCUAAAUUCAUGCUACGGUAAUCCCAGCACUUUGGGAGGCCGAGGCGGGCGGAUCACCUGAGGUCAGGAGUUCGAGAGCAGCCUGGCCAACAUGGUGAAAC
rnacentral:lncRNA from 1 species